AAGCUAUAACGGUACACAAGUUGCUGUCGGAAAACGGAACAAAACGCGAGCGUCCCAAGUGGAAAUGUAGCCCAAUCCGUUCGUUCGCUUCGGGGUAUCCAUCUAAAGCGGCCCUCGCACGUACAAACACACACACCACACACACACACGCAGAGGAGCCGCGCUGUGUCUUCGUAUCACUAAAGCUACAGCCAAAGUGGAGACGGCGUGUCUGGCCCUCAUUAGACGAAGACUGGCUGACUGGCCCAAUCGAAAUCGGAAUAAAAUAAAACCAAACCAAACAGAAACAGAAAAAAGAUAAAGAAAAAGAGAAUAAAAUAAAACCAGUGGAUCCAUUAAGGCAGAACAAGAUGGAAUAUUGAAUGGAAUCAUUUUGCUAUAUGCACAUACAUUAGCAGCCAAAGGACAACCCAAUCAGCCUCGUCUCAUCCUCCACCACUGGCGGCUGGUCGUGCUGGUGCACGGGGCGGCCAUCUCGACUCUGGGCAACAUGGAUGAAAAUGCGAUAAGCACUUGAUAAAUAUGUGCAGAGACAGAGACAGACACAGAGACAGAGACGAGCGACAACUUUCAGUAAACAAGAAGAGUGAAGCGCCGCAUCAUAUCAUGCAUCCCGAGGCAACGAUCGAUAUAAUGUGCCAGCAGCUCAAGGAGCCACAAUCGUAUCCACA